rnacentral:rRNA from 1 species
GUUAAUACGCUCGUAGUUGGAUAUCUGUGAGCGGGUUCCGGUCCUUCCCAGUGAAGAUUACACGGAACUCUGCUCGCAUUUGUUCAGGGAGGGUGGAUGCACUUCACUGUGUGACCACAUGAUCUGAAUUUUUACUUUGAGGAAAUGAGAGUGUUCCAAGCAGGCAAUUGCCGUGAAUAUGAUAGCAUGGAAUAAUAGCACAGGACUCUUGGUUCAAUGCUGUUGGUUUGUUGAACUAGAGUAAUCACAAUAAGGAUAGUUGGGGGUAUUCGUAUUUAACUGUCAGAGGUGAAAUUCUUGGAUUUUUUAAAGACGAACAAUUGCGAGGGCAUCUACCCAGGAUGUUUUUGUUGAUCAAGAACGAAAGUUAGGGGAUCGAAGACGAUCAGAUACCGUCCUAGUCUCAACCUUAAACUAUGCCGGCUGGAGAUGGGAGUCGUCAGAUUUGUGACGUCUUCAGCAUCCUAUGAGAAAUCUAAGUCUUUGGGUUCCGGGGGGAGUAUGGUCGCAAGGCUGAAACUUAAAGGAAUUGACGGAAGAACACCACCAGGAGUAGAGCCUGCGACUUAAUUUGACUCAACACGGGAAAACUCACCAGGUCCAGACAUAGAUAGGAUUAACAGACUGAUAGCUCUUUCUUAAUUCUAUGGGUGGUGGUGCAUGGCCGUUCU